rnacentral:rRNA from 1 species
GACGAACGCUGGCGGCGUGCUUAACACAUGCAAGUCGAACGGAAAGGCCCUGCUUUUGUGGGGUGCUCGAGUGGCGAACGGGUGAGUAACACGUGAGUAACCUGCCCUUGACUUUGGGAUAACUUCAGGAAACUGGGGCUAAUACCGGAUAGGAGCUCCUGCUGCAUGGUGGGGGUUGGAAAGUUUCGGCGGUUGGGGAUGGACUCGCGGCUUAUCAGCUUGUUGGUGGGGUAGUGGCUUACCAAGGCUUUGACGGGUAGCCGGCCUGAGAGGGUGACCGGCCACAUUGGGACUGGGAUACGGCCCAGACUCCUACGGGAGGCAGCAGUGGGGAAUAUUGCACAAUGGGCGGAAGCCUGAUGCAGCAACGCCGCGUGCGGGAUGACGGCCUUCGGGUUGUAAACCGCAUUCGCCUGUGACGAAGCGUGAGUGACGGUAAUGGGUAAAGAAGCACCGGCUAACUACGUG